rnacentral:tRNA from 1 species
UCCAGUGGCUCAGACGGUAAAGUGUCUGCCUACAAUGUGGGAGACCCAGGUUCGAUUCCUGGGUCUGGAA